GCAACUCGCCUACAUGAAGCUGGAAUUGCUAGUAAUCACAGGUCAGCAUACUGUGGUGAAUGCGUUCCCGGGCCUUGUACACACCGCCCGUCACACCAUGAGAGUUGAGAAUACCCGAAGUCCAUGUCAAAGUGGCCGAAGGUAGGCUUGAUGAUUGGGGUGAAGUCGUAACAAGGUAUC
rnacentral:rRNA from 1 species